CCUACGGGAGGCAGCAGUGGGGAAUAUUGGACAAUGGGCGCAAGCCUGAUCCAGCCAUGCCGCGUGGGUGAUGAAGGCCCUAGGGUUGUAAAGCCCUUUCGGCGGGGAAGAUAAUGACGGUACCCGCAGAAGAAGCCCCGGCUAACUUCGUGCCAGCAGCCGCGGUAAUACGAAGGGGGCUAGCGUUGCUCGGAAUCACUGGGCGUAAAGCGCACGUAGGCGGUUUGUUAAGUCGGAGGGGAAAUCCUGGAGCUCAACUCCAGAACUGCCUUCGAUACUGGCGAGCUCGAGUCCGGGAGAGGUGAGUGGAACUGCGAGUGUAGAGGUAAAAUUCGUAGAUAUUCGCAAGAACACCAGUGGCGAAGGCGGCUCACUGGCCCGGUACUGACGCUGAGGUGCGAAAGCGUGGGGAGCAAACAGGAUUAGAUCCCCCGGUAGU
rnacentral:rRNA from 1 species